rnacentral:lncRNA from 1 species
AGGUUUGUAACGCCUCGAAUUUGAGAGUUAAAUUUUUUUUUCUCCAGCACUCACCAAAUUCGGGCGUUACCUUUCCUCUUUCUUUUCUUCUCGCUAAGCCUUGUUCUUUUUCAAAGUUCUAGCGAGAAUUAGCUCGACAUCUUGUGUAGGUGAACCCUGGAAAUAUUUUCUUUGGUUGUUGCAUCGUGCUGAGCCAUGCAUCUAUUUCCUUUUGUGUGUAUUUGCUUGGUUUCGACAAAGUAUGCAUUUAGUAGAAGGUUAGAGAUGAAAUAGAUAAUAGGAAAAUAAGAAGAAAAUAAAAAGGGAAAACUCUCCCUUUCUCCUUUCAGCCCAGCCGCAGCCCUUUUUCAUUCCUUAUCUUUCCCCCCUCCUCCUUUCCCUCCCGCGCGGCCUAGCCGAGCCCCCCCUCUCUCCCGCGACCUACGCCCUGCGCCCCCCCCCCCCCACGCGCGCCGCGCGCAGCGCGGGUGGUUGCAGCCGCCGCCGCCACCCCCUGGUGGGGCCCACCCAUCAACCCACCCCCCCAAAACCACCUCCCUCUCUCUCCUCUACCCCCCCGCCCCCGUGCAGCUCGUCCCUCUCCUCCACCUCGCCGCCGCUCGGAACCGCCGGCCACCUACGCCGCCCUCGGCCCCGCGCGGUGAGCCCCGUCCCCCCCUCUCUCCCCCGCCCACCCCACUUCUUCCUUGGGCCCGAUGGCCACGGCGCCCGUUCGGCACGGCGUGGUCGCCCCGGCGCGGCCCCCUCCCUCUCCCUCGCGCUCACCCUCGCCCCGGCUCGCCCGCUCCUUCCCGCGGUGCGGUGCGCCCGCCCCAGCCCGCCCUGCGCAACCCGGCCCCUCCCCGCGCGGCAGCCUACCCCAGCGCGCUCGCCCCGGCUCGCCACCCCAUGCCUGCGGCUCGGCCAGCACGCGACGCCCCGGCAUAGCGCCCGGCGCGACUGCUUGCUCCCUCGAGUCCGGCGCGGUGUGCGCGGCCCCCUGCGCUCGUCCCCGGCGCGACGCGCGAUGCCUUGGAGCGGUUUGCCAUGCUCCCGGCGCGACGCGUAGCGCUCCGCCACGCAAGUGACGUGCCCGUCUACCCCUAGACUAGCCCAUCUACCCCCCCCCCCCCCCGUGUAUUUUAUGCGCGUUGAGCGUGUCGUUUAUUUUAUGUAGUUGAGCUCCACUUAGAAUUGAUCACGUUAAUUAUCUCACGUAGUUAAAUGACGACUUAAGUAAUGUCGGCCAAUUGGAAUAAUUGUAACUCUGUUAGUGUAUGUGAUUAAUACCUGUUUGUAUGACUAGGUAGAGUUGGACGAAGUAAUGAUUAAUUGCACACCCACACGUAAUACGUUUCGACUAUAGAUUUAACCGUUGCGAGUCCCUUCUUUUUCUCUUUCUAGCAAUUGCGAAUGCAAAUCGUAUGUCAUAUCAUAUGCAUAUUCAAUUGAUCUGCUCUCUUGUAUGGUGUACUGUUUAUUUCCUAAUUCAAAGAUAUGGAUGUAUGUUUGCACUUGCAUAGAUAACGGUCUGGUUGAGGAGUCCGAAGAACUUGCGGGAGAAGACCCUGAGCAGCAGCUGGUUGGUGGAGGCAAGUGUCCCUUGACCCACUUAUGUCCUAUACAUUCCUCAAUUCACUUUCCGCAUUUACACAGUUUAUACCUAAGGAUUGACUAGCUUUUGUUAUCCAUUUCCUUGCUUACCUAUUUGGGUCAAAUUAUUCUGGUUUAGCUUCAUGCUAGUGCUUCACAUUAAUCAAUGAACAUGAUGAGAUUUAUCAAUGAUACACUGUUUCCCUUCUUUAUUAUGAUGAUAUACUUGUGGCAUUUAAGGGGACUCGAGCGGUUUCUCGAGUGCCUCUCCGUAAGGACCUAUUCGUUGGAUGACCGCCUAGGAAAACAGUACAACCAUGAGGGUGGAAUGGGACACCCUUAGCUUAAUAAUUAGAGGAACCGGGGUGUAGUUCGCUUCGCCGUCGUGCCGUUAAUGGGGCUCGGUGUAUGCGGCUCGCUCUGCCAAGGUUGGUUUUGCCCCUUGGGGAGGAGUGCUGUACAUUUAGGAAACCUAACGGGCGGCUACAGCCCCUGGGAAUCUUUGUAAAGGGCACGUAGUGAUACCCUACUGGGUCAACUUGGUAGUGAUCAAUGGAGAGUCAUGAUCUCCGGGCAGAAAGGAAACCACGACUUGUGGGUAAAGUGCGCAACCUCUACAGAGUGUUAUGAAAACUGAUAUAUCAGUCGUGCUCGCGGUUAUGAGCGGCCAAGGGAGCUCCAUUGAUUAGAGAUACUUGAUCAGAGAUGUUCGGAUUACAGGUGGUGAUGAGAAUGAUGAUUUUGGUAUUGACUAUGGUAAUGGUAAGUGGUAUUCUUUCCGUUUGGAAAGGGUACUUUUGGGUUAACAACUUGGGUUAAUACUAAAAUCUGGCUCUCUCUACUAGUAAUAAUAAUCUGACCAACUAAAAGCAACUGCUUGACUUAUCCCCACAUAAAGCUAGUCCACUACAGCCAAACAGGCCAUUUGCUGAGUAUGUUGAUGUGUACUCACCCUUGCUCUACACACCAACCCCCCCUUCCACUACACCAAAAUAGUAAACUCUCGGAAGUUAAGCCAUCCCGUCGGAAGUUUGGCUCUCGAAAUUUUUUUGUCGGAAGUUAGCUUAACUUCCUAGAGGGCUCUAGGAAGUUACCUAACUUCCUACGGCUUAAGAAACCUCUCGGAAGUUAGUAGAUUCUCGGAAGUUAGUAGUUUCACGCCGUCAGCGCCGUCAGCUGACUAACUUCCUACGGCUUACUGUAGCCCCUAGGAAGUUAGCUGGCUAACUUCCUACGGCUUACUGUAGCCUCUAGGAAGUUAAUUUGACCAACAUUACAAAUGCUGUUUAUAUUUUACACCACAUUCCAGAAAAUAACAAAUAUAUCAACAGCUAUAUAGCACAACAUAUUAUCGCAUAAAACAUCUCACACACAAUCACAUAACAAUAUUUAAAUCCAUAGUCUCAUCAAUUAUUACAUCACAAAAGUCUCAUCCAUAGUCUUAUCAUCACAAAAGUCUCACACAUAUCAUCAUCCAGAGACAAUAUCUCAUACAUAGUCAUAAUAAAAGUCUCAAGUAUCAGAAUGCAAUAACAUGGAAGCUCACGGUCACGAUAAGCUUAAUUAACCUAACUAUAUGCAGCGGUUAGCCACCAUAUUAUUAAUCAAACAUAAACUUAAUUUUAGCCAUAACAUACAAGAUUAAUUUUAGCCAUAACAUACAAGAUUAAUUUUAGCCAUAACAUACAAGAUUAAUUUUCAUCGAAGGUCCUCACCCAUCAUAUUAUUAAUCAAACAUAAACUUAAUUUUAGCCAUAACAUACAAGAUUAAUUUUAGCCAUAACAUACAAGAUUAAUUUUCAUCGAAGGUCCUCACCCACCAUAUUAUUAAUCAAACAUAAACUUAAUUUUAGCCAUAACAUACAAGAUUAAUUUUAGCCAUAACAUACAAGAUUAAUUUUAGCCAUAACAUACAAGAUUAAUUUUCAUCAAAGGUCCUCACCCAUCAUAUUAUUAAUCAAACAUAAACUUAAUUUUAUCCAUAACAUACAAGAUUAAUUUUAGCCAUAACAUACAAGAUUAAUUUUAGCCAUAACAUACAAGAUUAAUUUUCAUCGAAGGUCCUCACCCACCAUAUUAUUAAUCAAACAUAAACUUAAUUUUAGCCAUAACAUACAAGAGUUUAGCAUAGCUAAACUAUAUGCAGCGGUUAGCCAAUCAAGUUAAUUAACCUAUCUACCUACGACAUUAUUUGAGUAAACUCUCGGAAGUUAGCACAUUAAAUAAAAAAAUAAAAAACGUAUAAACACGGUACCUGACGGUUGCAGCGGGUGCGGAUCGAUGAUUUGGGUCGGGAACGUCCACGGCGGGGUCGGUGGCUGCGCAGCGGGCGCCGACGAGCGGGGUCGACGGGGGGCGGGGCCGCCGUGCGCACGAACGCCAGGCACUACCUGGGGCGGGCGCUGCCGGGGCGGGCUCCUCGUGGACGGGCACUGCCGGGGGUGGGAGAGACGGUCGCGGGGUGGAAGCUGCCGGGGGCGGGCGCUGCCGGAGCGAGCUCCUCGGGGGCGGACGCGGUUGGGAGACCGGCGGGCGGCGAGUACUCGAGGCCGGGACGGCGGCCGCGGUUGGGAGACCGGCGGGCGGCGGCUCCUCGCGGCAGACAGGCGACCAGCGCGGCCGGACCGACGGGCGCGACCGGCGCGGUCUGGACGGCGGGCGCGGCCGGCGCGGUCUGGACGGCGGGCACGGCCGGCAGCGGGCGGCGGCCGGGGGCGGCCGGGGCGGGCGGCGGCAGGGCAGGGGCGGCGCGAAGGAGAAUGGCGCGCGGGCGUCUGAGAGAUGAGAGAAGAUAUUUUGUGAAAGGUGAGAGAAGAGGGAGGUAAAAGCUAAAAACAUAACUUCCUAGAGUAAAGCCGUAGGAAGUUAGGUAACUUCUUAGGGUUUAUUCUUUGCUCUAGGAAGUUAAUUAACUUCCUACAGCCGGCUGUAGGAAGUUAGAUUUUCGUUUGACCGGUCAACAGAUGAAUCCUAACUUCCUAGAGUAAAGUCUUAGGAAGUUAGGUAAGCAGCUAACUUCCUACAGCCAGCUGUAGGAAGUUAUGUUUUUGGUUGACUGGUCAACAGCUAAAAGCUAACUUCCUAGAGGAGGCCGUAGGAAGUUAUUUGGGCAGCUAACUUCCUAGAGCCAGCCGUAGGAAGUUAGCUAUUCUACUGGCUUGUGAACGGAUGGAACCUAACUUCCUAGAGGAGGCCGUAGGAAGUUAACUGGGCAGCUAACUUCCUACAGGCUUGUGAACGGAUGAAACCUAACUUCCUAGAGCCAGCCGUAGGAAGUUAGUUAAGUUCCUACGGUUUUGUAACUUCCGACAGCUAUUAUAAAAAAUUGUAGGAAGUUAUGUUUAUUUCCUAGAGGUAUCAGUUUCCUCUCGGAAGUUAUGUAUUUCCUACGGUUUUAUAUAAAAGCUGUAGGAAGUUAAAAAACCGUAGGAAGUGUAUGAUUUUGGUGUAGUGUUCCCCAGGUUGUCCAAGUUGCAACCACUGCUCAGGAGAAGAUGAAGCCGUGGAGGAAGACUUCCAGGAGUUCCAAGAUUACGACGAGUUUUACGCGUGGGUUAGCGGCAACCCCCAGUCGGCUGCAUGUGAAGGCCGCGUGCAUCUACAUUUCAUUUUCGCACUUUGAUUAUUGUUAAAUACUAUGUGGAUGUCUCAGACAUAUAAUGUAAUCGACUAUUAUUACCCUUUUAUGUUAUUAUUUGAGCACUGUUAUGAUGUCCAGUUAUGUAACUGCUAUGUAUGUGAAUUGCUGAUUCUGGUACGUACAUGGUUCGCAUUCGGUUUGCCUUCUAAAACCGGGUGUGACAACCAGGAUCCUCAGUAGCUUGCUCGUCUACUCGCAUCAAUACAAACAUACAUAGUAUAGCAAAAAAUAAUAUCCCACAAAUAUGUAAACAAAAUGCAUAAUAAUAAUCUACACAUUAAAAUAAGAUCAUAGGAACAGGAAUCAUUAAUUUUGGAGUUAUGGAUUUAAUGUUAUGAAUUUCCAAAGGUUUUAUGUCUUUGAUACAAGGUUAACUAAGAAAUAAAUUUUAUUACUAUUUUCAAGCCAAAACAGAGACACUAGGUCAUAAACAAUAAUAUUAUAAAAUUAUAGAAAUUGGAAUGGAUUAAUUUGGACUAAGUAUGAAUUUUCUGGGAAUUUAACAAGUUCUAGGAAUUGUUUUUUAUUAAAAAUGCAUUUUCUAAUACAUUUACUCUGAUUUUCCGUUCUCUGGACUGCGCAUCAAAUUCUAGAAAGGCCACGGGCUAUCCUAUAAAAAUCCCUAGACUCAACCUAACCCACGAUUGGACCGCGGGUUGAUUCCAGUAAAGCGCAGGGUCACUUUUAGAAAACACUCGGCUCGCAAGGUCCGGACUAACCUGAGCCGUCCGAUCAACCGCUAGUUGUAAAGCCCUAAAAUUUGUAUAAAGUAAAAAUAAAAUAAAAAAUAUAUAAAUAAAUAAAUACAUGUACAAAAAAAUAAUUGGAAAGAUAUUUUUUGUUUAAUCGUUUCCUUCAUGAACUAAACUCAUGAGAAGAAAAUAUUCAAAUGAAUAAAUGAUUAAUAUAAAAAUAUAAUAGGCUAUGCAUACAUGCUGGAAAUUCUUGUAUUGUGCAUUUAACUCAAGUUUGAAAGUCAAAACCCAUAUUCAAAUUGAAAUUUAGAAUAUAAAUAGAAAUAAGGAAAAAAACAAAAGAAGAAAGAACUGGCGCGCUUGGGCCGGUUCCUCCUCCCCUCGGCCGGCCUUGCCAUUGGCCCCAGUGCGGCCCAAAUUAGUUUUCAUGACCUCGCGACCCAGCGGGGAAAUACAUGUGCUGACUAGCGGGCCUGCCCCGUCAGCCGCCCCCACUGUCCCACUCUUACUAUCUUCAUCUGGUGGCCCAGGGUUCUCAGGCCUUUCUUCCCCAAUUCGCUCGCAACAGCCGCGACUUCAUCGCGAAUACCACGGGCGACCGAAACAAACUCCGCGCGAUUUGCUGCCGGACUUCGCGAUCUUCACGCGGGGGCGUCGAUCGGUACCCUCCGUCCUUCCUCAGGUGUAUAAAUAUGAAUGUCGCCCGCCUCCUUGACCACGACGCGAGUAGAUGAGGAUCGAGGUCUGCUGCGUCCGCCGCAGUGGGAUCGCGUCCUCAUUGCCAUCCGGAACGCGAGCUCAGCCAUGGAUGCUUGAUCGUGGUCUCUGAGACUUGGCUGUGGCGACAUCUAGCUCGGAGAGUCCUUGGUGUGCGGCAAAUUUCUUGUCGUCAUUGUGCGCAUUGCGAUAUUCGCAUCUCACCGUGGGCAGAGGUCUCGACUGGUCGAGCUUAGGUAAUAACCCGUUUACUAGCUCUGUUUUUCCAUCCUCUUCACGUAGCUCCGUUCAAUUUGGUUUUGGAGCUCUGGGGUGCCGGCCGCAUGCACGCCGGUGAUUUCCGUCGUCGCCGCUAGCUCGGCACCACGGACUGGUACCGCUGGGAAGAAGAAGCGUUUUGCGUCGUGGAUCUAGUGACGGAUGGUCCCGAUUAGAUGAAAAUACCGAUUCGGCCGGGCGCGUUUUGGGGCGUUGAUCCCCCAUCGGGCGGUCAGCGGGUAUCGAGCAUCUCAUUAAAUCUAUGUCGUUGGAUUGGGAUCCAACAGCUGUGAUAACAUACCCCUUCAAGAUUUAAUCUGAGCCGCCAGAUGGUGAUAGGUCGGCUGUCAUGUGAGGAUACCCCUUCGCCGAACCAGUUUCACAAAUGAGCCCCUAGUGCAGUCGAAUUUAGUUCACCAGAAAAUAAAAAAAAGGUCCUGAAAUUAUGAGUUUGACCCUGUGCUCUCUGGUAUUUAUGCCCGACGUCCAAAUAAAUUCAGGAGUAAUAAAAUAAACCAGAAAAUGAGUUUUAAAAUAGGAAUUAAACCCUAAAAUCUUUCUAAAUUCAUAGCUUCCCCAUUUUUACUCCAAAUUGAGUCAUUCCAGUUGCAUUAGGUUCAUAAUAAUAUUGUUUAUUCCCUGGUAACUUUAUUUUGUUAUGCAACAUAGAUUAGAAAUUAUACACUUAGUUUCUUUUCUUCCAACACUUAAAACUUCAGAAAUCCAUAACUUCUUUGUUUUGAUUCCGAUUUGGUCUGUUCAAGUUGUGUUACCUUCGUAUGAAUAUUUACUACGCAAUAACUACAUUUAUUGUACCAUGUCUCAUUCUUUUAUAAUUAGAUCUUUAUUUCACUUAUGUUGGUUAUUCUUGUUAAUCUGCCUAUCAUUAUAAUCUACUAAAAUAUGAUCUAUGGUCAAGUUAUAAUCUAGAUUAAAGUUGGAUUAGUUAUUCAAGUUAUAUUUUUUAAUACACUGUGUACUAAUCAAUUUAUAAUAUAGUUUAACCAUAUAGAUCUCCCAUAAAUCAUAACCCGAUAACCGUAUUCCGAAUUUAGUGAGUCUCGAUCCCAUGAUCUCGUUACGACUUGUAGAUUAUUAUUACGCAGUUUGUUCUUAUGUUUGGUGUGAUGUUAAUUUUGCCUAAACACUAUUUGUUUGUAUUGCUACGACUAACAGUGAGGACACGUGUCAUCUGAAGAGAAAGUUGGUACUUGGAAUCUCAAGUGUCAGGCAAGUUGUGCCUUUGAUCACUUCUUUUUACCCAGUCAUGUUCUAGUUUAUCAUAAUGAUCUGCAUAGAUUAAUUUUGAUGGGACCCAAUAGGUUACCCUAGUUUGACUAUCUUUAUACCUUGUUUACUAAUGAAUUUUUGGGUAGUACCUGCUAUUGCUUUAUAUGGUUUCGGGUAUAGAGAUACACAUUAUUAUUCAUUAUUAUAUUUAUAUUAUCAGUUGUUAUUUACUGUUCAUGUUAAUAUCAUUAUGUUAAUUGGAACGUGGAGCGACCACCCGGAAAAACAGUGCUACCACAAGGGUAGUAUGGGAUGCCCUUGGCUGAUUAACUAGAAAAGCUAGUGGAUGACUACCUUACCCGAAAGAGAAAAGGGCAGUAGGGGAGUGGUCAGUGUAGGGAGGUCCUUGGGUUGAUUUUGCUAUGAUGGCGGUCAGGCGAGGGAUCCCUGCUUUGGAGCUUACUAGAAACUGUAACCGGUUUUCUAAAGCUAGUGGAACUUUGUAAAGGCCUCGUAGUAUUACCCUACCCCGCAUCCUUGGUAGAGGCGUAUGGGACCCGUACAACCCCGUGGCAGAUGGGUAACAUGACUUGUGGGUAAAGAUGCGCAACCUCUGCCGAGUGUAAAACUAGUAUACUAGCCGUGCUCACGGUCAUUAGCAGCUCGGACCCUCACAUGAUUAAUUUACGGAACUAAAUUCAAUUUGUCAUAUGCAUUGCAUUGCAGGUGUUGUUAUUACUUUUGUUCUACUAUUUAAUUGGGUUAGUAUUUACUUAUACUUAGUAAUUGCUAAUAAAAUUUUGACCAACUUUAAAAGCAAUGAUCAGCUUCAACCAUUUUCUUUGGUAAGCCUUACACUUCCCCUGAGCUCCCACCUUUGGCGAGUUCAUGCACAUUAUUCCCCGUAACUUGUUGAGCUAUGAACGUAUGUGAGCUCACUCUUGCUGUCUCACACCCCCACAAGUCAAGAACAAGUACCACAGAAUGAGGCGCAUGGAGGAUGCUGUGACGAGUUGGUGAGAGGUCUAUGCCGUCGUCUCCCAGUCAACUUUGGGUUGCUGGACCAUUGUCUCCUUAUAAUGUAAUUAUUUAUUUAUUUUGUACAUAACUCCUAUUAUAUAGUAAAGAUGUGACAUUUGAUCCUGUGUCAUGAUUUAUCAUAUGUGUGAGACUUGGUCCCAGCACACCUGGUGAUUAUUUCGCUUUCGGGUUUUGGACCCCUAAAGCCCGGGUGUGACAGAAGUGGUAUCAGAGCAAUGUUGACUGUAGGACAAAACCUAGAUAGAACCGGACAACCAUUGUCUAAUUACCUUUGCUACUCUGAUUCUUUCUAAACUUUCUUAAUCUCUUUUCAUCCACUGCUGCUUUACUCUGAUUACUGUUACCUUUUCACUUCUAAGGACAGAAGUGGAUUUCACACUUUCCUGUGCCUAAAGUGACCUUUAGCAAUAGGAGACCUACUCUUAGUAACAAAAAUAAAACUAUUUUUAUAGGUAUCUAUGUACUUCAAUGUUCGUUCUUAUGAUACUUGUUUGAUUUGGAUCUUUGAUUAAGUGUGAUGAGUUGUGGAGUAAUGUCCACAAUUACAUUUGCAUAUUCUUAUAGGCAUAAAUAUAAAUAAAUAAAAAAUCAUAAUAUAACCAAACAACCUAGAUUAUCCUCUAUUGAAGUGUAUCUAUUUUAGAUAAAAUCCUUUAAGUUGAGAAAAAAAUUAUCUUAUUCUAAUUGGUUCAUCUUAUGUAAAAAAAUUAUUAUCCUAUCCUAAUAAAUUGCUUAUGAGAUAAACUAGACCAACUAAAAAUACCCCCACUAGAGUAUAUCAAAGCCUAAUAGAUCCAUCCUAUCUUAAAAGACUCUCUUAUCUUAAUGGAUUCAUCUUACCUUGAAAGAUUCGUCUUAUCCUAACCACUUUACUUAUCUAAUCCUAAAGUAACAACCAGGAACUAAUCCAAAAUAAAUCAAAUAGAUAUUAUCUGGUCUAAUAUAGUGAUAUCAAUUUAAUCUUGAUCCAAUCCAAGUUAAUGUGAUCUAAGGGGACCUGAUUUAAUCUAAAUAAUAUAAUUACCAGAUUAGUUAGUACUAGAAAUAGAUUAGACCUUACUCCUAUACUUAGGUGUUAAGUUAAAUUGGUGCCCUAUACUGACUUGACUUUAUGCAACUACCUUAACCAUCUGAUGGUUGCAUAACCCCUUUGUUUUAACCUAACAGAGAUUCUAACUUACCUGCACCAUAUAAUUCAUCUUAUAACAAAAGAUUCUAACACACCCUAAUAGUAUUUACCCUACCCUAGUAGAUCUAUCUAGCCUAAACUAGUCUAAUCUAGUCAUGUCCACCCUACUCUAGAUUCGAUCUAAGCUAAUAUGAUCUAAUCUAGUGUGAGUUACUUAAUGCGGGUACAAAGGAUAAGGCCAUACUCCUAACUCACUUAAAGCCUAAAUUGGUGACUUAGAUCAACACGACCAUAUGCUACUGCCUAGCCACAUAGGUUGCAUAAUCUAUCUAUUCCAAUAAAAAAACAAAAAAUCUAUCUUACUUUAAAGGACUUUAAAGGAUUUAUCUAAACCCAAUGUGUAUGCUUAUCCCAUCCUAGAAUAACAAACAUGAUCUAACCCAAAAUUUACUUAGAUCUCAACUAAUCUAACCUAUGAAUGUCCAAACUAAUCUAGAUCUCAUAUCUAAUCUAAUAUUAUCCAAUCUAAAGUGAGUUAGUAACAUGUUAGUUAAUCUGGUGAUAUGGGUUAUACACUGCUUCUACAAAUAUAACUUAACCUAAAUUAAUGUCUUAUACCAACUCGUCUGUGAACAACAACAUAACCUACACCACAGGCUGCCUAGUCCAUUUGUCCCAAAAGCAAAGUAAAACUCUGUUCAAACCUACAUACCUCGUGUACCCCGGCUAUCCUAACUAUAUGUCCUUAGCCUUAUGUCCUUAACUCGGAUGGCAUCUCCAAGAAUAAAGGUCAAAGAAGACCAACCACGUCAAAGGAGGAUAAGCAUCAACUCAAGACUUCAAAGAUCAAGUUGGAUCGCUAGAUGAAACAAGAUCCAUUGUACAUGAUGGAGUCUCUCAUUACCAUAAUCCUGGUUAUCCCAACCUAUCCAUUCAUUAUCCCACAUAAUAAGUGGCUAGAUAUCUAUACUCUCAUGAUCACCCAUUAAGGAGUAUUAUAAAAAAAUGUACUCUUAAUUUUGAACUAAUUAGAAACUAAUAGAUAAAUUACAAACCAUUCUUUCUAUAUCCACUUUCUUACAAAUCUCGAGAACGAGAUUUAUUUUAAGGGGGUAGGAUUUGUAAAGCCCUAAAAUUUGUAUAAAGUAAAAAUAAAAUAAAUAAUAUAAAUAAAUAAAUAAAUACAUGUACAAAAAAAUAAUUGGAAAGAUAUUUUUUAUUUAAUCGUUUCCUUCAUGACCUAAACUCAUGAGAAGUAAAUAUUCAAAUGAAUAAAUGAUUAAUAUAAAAAUAUAAUAGGAUAUGCAUACAAGCUGGAAAUUCUUGUAUUGUGCAUUUAACUCAAGUUUGAAAGUCAAAAUCCAUAUUCAAAUUGAAUUUUAGAAUAUAAAUAGAAAUAAGGAAAAAAAGAAAAGAAGAAAGAACCAGCGCGCUUCGGCUGGUUCCUCCUCCCCUCCGCCCACCUUGCCAUUGGCCCCAGUGCGGGCCAAAUUAGUUUUCAUGACCGCGCGGCCCAGCCGGGGAAAUACGUGUGCUAACUAGCGGGCCCGCCCCAUCAGCCGCCCCACUACCCCACUCUUACUCUCUCCGUCUGGUGGCCCAGGGUUGUCAGGGCUUUCUUCCCCAAUUCGCUCGCAACAGCCGCGACUUCAUCGCGAAUACUGCGGCGACCGAAACAAACUCCGCGCGAUUUGCUGCCGGACUUCGUGAUCUUCGCGCGGGGGAGUCGACCAGUACCCUCAUUCCUUCCUCGGGUGUAUAAAUAUGGAUGUCGCACCCCCUCCUUGACCACGACGCGAGUAGAUGAGGAUUGAGGUCUGCUGCGUCCGCCGCAGUGGGACCGCGUCCUCAUUGCCAUCUGAAACGCGAGCUCAGCCCUGGAUGCUUGGUCGUGGUCUCUGGGACUAGGCUGUGGUGACAUCUAGCUCGGAGAGUCCUUGGUGUGCGGCGAAUUUCUUGUCGUCGUUGUGCGCAUUGCGAUAUCCGCAUCUCACCAUGGGCAAAGGGCUCGACUGGUCGAGCUUAGGUAAUAACCCGUUUACUAGCUCUAUUUUUCCAUCCUCUUCACGUAGCUCCAUUCGAUUUGGUUUUGGAGCUCUGGGGUGCCGGUCGCAUGCACGCCGGUGAGUUCCGCCACCACCACCAGCUCGGCACCACGGACUGGUACCGCUGGGAAGAAGCGUUCUGCACCGUGGAUCUAGCGACGGAUGGUCCCGAUUAGACGAAAAUACCGAUUCGGUCGGGCACAUUUCGGGGCGUUAAUCCCCCAUCGGGCGGUCAAUGAGUAUCGCACAUCUCAUUAAAUCUAUGUCGUUGGAUUGGGAUCCCAUAGCCGUGAUAACAUACCCCUUCAGGGCAUGUUCGGUUACACCAAUCUAGAGAGGAUUGGAGGGGAUUAAAUCCCCUCCUAGUCAAAAAUAACUAGGCGGGGAUUUAAACCCCUCCAAUCUCCCUCUGGAUUGGUGUAACCCAACAUGCCCUCAAGAUUUAAUCUGGGCCACCAGAUGGUGAUCGGUCGGCUGUCAUGUGAGGAUACCCCUUCACCGAGCCAGUUUCACAAAUGAGCCCCUAGUGUUUUAAGUAACCAACCCGCAGUCCACUUUAGUUCACCAGAAAAUACAAACAGGUCCUGAAAAUUAUGAGUUUGACCCUGUGCUCUCUGGUAUUUAUGCCUGACGUCCAAAUAAAUUCAGGAUUAAUAAAAUAAACCAGAAAAUGACUUUUAAAAUAGGAAUUAAACCCUAAAAUCUUUCUAAAUUCAUAGUUUCCCCAUUUUUACUCCAAAUUGAGUCAUUCCAGUUACAUUAGGUUCAUAAUAUUAUUUUUUAUUCCCUGGUAACUUUAUUUUGUUAUGCAACAUAGAUUAGAAAUUAUACACUUAGUUUCUUUUAUUCCAACACUUAAAACUUCGGAAAACCAUAACUUCUUUGUUUUGUUUCCGAUUUGGUCCGUUCAAGUUGUGUCACCUUCGUAUAAAUAUUUACUACGCUAUAACAACAUUUAUUGUACCAAGUCUCAUUCUUUUAUAAUGAGAUCUUUAUUUCACUUAUGUUGGUUAGUCUUGUUAAUCUGCCUAUCAUUAUAAUCUACUAAAAUAUGACCUAUGGUCAAAUUAUAAUCUAGAUUAAAGUUGGAUUAGUUAUUCAGGUUAUAUUUUUUAAUACACUAUAUACUAAUCAAUUUAUAAUAUAGUUUAACCACAUAUAUCUCCCAUUAAUCAUAACCCAAUAACCGUAGCUCUGAAUUUAGUGAGUCUCGAUCCCACGAUCUCGUUACGACACGUACAUUAUUAUUACGCAGUUUGUUCUUAUGUUUGGUGUGAUGUAAUUUUUCCUAUACAAUAUUGGUACCUGGAAUCUCAUGUGCUAGGAAAGUUGUGCCCUUGAUCACUUCUUUUUACCCAGUCAUGUUCUAAUUAAUCAUAAUGAUCUGCAUAGAUUAAUUUUGAUGGGACCCAAUAGGUUACCCUAAUUUUACUAUCUUUAUACAUUGUUUACCACUGAAUUUUUGGGUAGUACCUACUAUUGCUUUAUGUGGUUUUGGGUAUGGAGAUACACAUUAUUAUCAGUUGUUAUUUACUGUUCAUGUUAAGAUCAUUAUGUUAAUUGGAACAUGGAGCGACCACCCGGGAAAACAGUGCUACCACAAGGGUAGUAUGGGAUGCCCUUAGCUGAUUAACUAGGAAAGCUAGUGGAUGACUAUCUUACCCGAAAGGGGCAAGGGCAGUAGGGGAGUAGUCAAUGUAGGGAGGUCCUUGAGUUGAUUUUGCUGCGAUGGCGGUCAGGCGGGGGAUCUCUGCAUUGGAGCUUCCUAGAAACUUUAGCGGGUUUUCUAAAGCUAGUGGAACUUUGUAAAGGCCUCGUAGUGUUAUCCUGCCUCGCUUCCUUGGUAGAGGUGUAUUGGGCCUAUACAACCCCAUGGCAGAUGGGUAACAUGACUUGUGAGUAAAGAUGUGCAACAUCUGCAGAGUGUAAAACUGGUAUACUAGCCGUGCUCAUGGUCAUGAGCAGCUCGGACCUUCACAUGAUUAAUUUAUGGAACUAAAUUCAAUUUGUCAUAUGCAUUGCAUUGCAGGUGUUGUUAUUACUUUUGUUCUACUACUUAAUUGGGUUGGUAUUUACUUAUACUUAGUAAUUGCUAAUAAAAUUUUGACCAACUUUAAAAGCAAUGCUCAGCUUCAACCAUCUUCUUUGGUAAGCCUUACACUUCAAGUGAGCUCCCACCUUUGACGAGUUCAUGCACAUUAUUCCCCACAACUUGUUGAGCUAUGAACGUAUGUGAGCUCACUCUUGCUGUCUCACACCCCCACAGGUCAAGAACAGGUACCACAGGAUGAGGCGCAUGGAGGAUGUUGUGACGAGUUCGUGAGAGGUCUAGGCCGUCGUCUCGCAGACAACUUUGGGUUGCUGGACCAUUGUCUCCUUAUAAUGUAAUUAUUUAUUUAUUUUGUACAAAACUCCUAUUAUAUAGUAAAGAUGUGACAGUCGAUCAUGUGCCAUGAUUCAUCAUAUGUGUGAGACUUGGUCCCAUCACACCUGGUGAUUAUUUUGCGCCCGGGUUUUGGACCCCUAAAACCCAGGUGUGACACUUGCGGUCUAGAUUAAAUCACAAUCUCCGCGAAACGGUAUGCUUCUAUGUCCAUUGGAUCCAGGAUCGAGGAUCCUGAUUUAAGUAACCCCUAUCGACCGUCGCCCGCACGAUCAUCAUCUAACGGUUCAGAUCACACAGUGCGAACGGAUACGUGGUCGUCUAAUCUCGGCCACAGAUCAAAGAUUCAACAGCCCACAUUAUGUCACACCCGGGCUUUAAGGAACAAAGCCGGGUGCAUCUCAUACAUGCGCCAAGAAGACAACAUAUAUAAUAACAGAGUGUAUAGAGAUAAAUGUCAUAAAACAUCAGAGUAUUUAUUACAUAGCGGAAGACUUAUUACAAAAUAAAAUAAUAAAUAUAAAACGAACUAAGGAUCGUCGGCGCCAAUGUCAACUGAGAAACGCCACCUAGAUCAUAUCAUACUCCUCGCCUUGUGGCUCCUCCUGAACCACCUGCUCUUCUCCUGUGCGGGGGUGUGAGACAGCAAGAGUGAGCUCACAUACGUUCAUCGCUCAACAAGUUGUGGGGAAUAAUGUGGCAUGAACUCACCAAAGGUGGGAGUUCAUGAAGUGUAAGGCUGAUCAAUGUAAUAAUGGCUGAAGCUGAGCAUUGCUUUUAUAAGUUGGUCAAAAUUUUAUUAGCAGUUACUAAGUGUAAGUAAAUACCAAUCCAUAGUAAUAAUAAAUAAAGGUAAUAGUAAAAUAAUCCCAAAUGCAAUGAAAUGACAGGUUAAGUUUAAGUUCCAUAGCUUAAUCAUGUGAGUGUCCGAGCCGCUCAUGACCGUGAGCACGGCUAGUAUACCAGUUUUACACUCUGCAGAGGUUGCGCAUCUUUACCCACAAGUCGUGUUACCCAUUUGCCACAGAGUUGAUCAGACUCCAUACACCUCUACCAAGGAAGCGAGGCAGGGUACCACUACGAGGCAUUUACAAAGUUCCACUAGCUUCAGACUACCCGCUACAGUUUAUAGGAAGCUCCAGUGCAGGGUUCUUGCCUGACCGCCAUCGCAGCAAAAUCAACCCAAGGACCUCCCUACACUAACCACUCCCAUACUGCCCUUGCCCCUUUCGGGUAAGGUAGCCCUCCACUAGCUUUCCUAGUUAAUCAGCCAAGAGCGUCCCAUUAUACCCUUGUGGUAGCACUGUUUUCCCGGGUGGUUCUCCAUGUUCCCAUUAACAUAAUGAUCUUAUCAUGAACAGUAAAUAAUGAACAGAUAAUAAACAAUAUAACAAUGAGUAUUGAAUAUCUCUAUACCCAAAACCACAUAAAGCAAUAGCAUGUCUGCCCAAAAAAUUAGUAGUAAAACCAGUGGUGAAACAAGGCAUAGAGAUAGUCAAAUCUAGGGUAUCCUAUUGGGUCCCAGCAAAAUUAACGUAUGCAGAUCAUUAUGAUUAAUAAGAACAUGAAUGGGUAAAAGAAGUGAUCAAGGGCACAACUUGCCUUCCACGAGCUCCUGCUCAGCAGUCUCUACCAGCUGAACCUCAGGAUCCCCAGUGACUUGCUCGUCUACUCGCAUCAACACAAUACAUACAUAACAUAGCAUAAAUUAACAUCACAUCAAACAUGCAAAUAGAAUAUACAGUAAUCAACUAGACAUUAAAAUAAGAUCACAGGAACUGGAAUCAUUAAAAUUUGGAGUUAUAGAUUUUAAGUUAUGGAUUUUCUAAUGUUUUAUGUGCUUAAUACAAGAUUAAGUGAUGGAUAAAUUUUAAAUCAUCUCUCAUGUUAAAACAGAGGCACUAAUGGUUAGACAAUAAUAUUAUAAAAAUUUAGGAACUGGAAUGGACCAAUUUGGAGUUUAUAUGCAUUUUCUAUGAAUUAAACAAGUUUCUUUAAUUAAUUUAAUGUUAAAAAUCUAUUUCUAAUUUAAAUUCUCUGAUUUUCUAAUCCUCUGGACUGGGCGUCAAAAUCUGUAAAGCGCAGGGGUCUCUGCGAAAUUAAUCCAAGACACAGUCUACAGUCCCUAUGGGACGGCGGGUUGAUUCUUAAACACUAUGAGGGGUUUUCUGCAAAGUGGAUACGCGAAGGGGU